UACAGAGGUCUCAAGCGUUGUUCGGAUUCAUUGGGCGUAAAGGGUGUGUAGGUGGCGCCGUAAGUCGGGUGUGAAAUUUCGGAGCUUAACUCCGAAACUGCAUUCGAUACUGCGGUGCUUGAGGACUGGAGGAGGACGACGUAGGUAAUUGACGGUGUAGCGGUGAAAUGCGUAGAUAUCGUAAGGAAGACCAGUGGCGAAGGCGGGUCUCUGGACAGUUCCUGACGCUGAGGCACGAAGGUCAGGGGAGCAAACGGG
rnacentral:rRNA from 1 species